rnacentral:ncRNA from 1 species
GUAACCCGCUGAACCUCCUUCGUGCUUAGGGAUCGUGGCUUGCAAUUUUUCCACGUGAACGAGGAAUUCCCAGUAAGCGCGAGUCAUCAGCUCGCGUUGAUUACGUCCCUGCCCUUUGUACACACCGCCCGUCGCUACUACCGAUUGAACGGUCGCAUUGAGGUCUUCGGAGUGGACGCGCGUUAUUCGGCCCCCUCGGGGGCUGGGUCGUCGCGCGAUCGCGAAGAUGACCGAAAUCGGCCGUUUAGAGGAAGUAAAAGUCGUAACAAGGUUUCCGUAGGUGAACCUGCGGAAGGAUCAUUA